UACGAAGGGUGCAAACGUUGCUCGGAAUUAUUGGGCGUAAAGCGCACGUAGGCGGCAUUGCAAGUCGGAUGUGAAAUCCCUCGGCUUAACCAAGGAAGUGCAUCCGAAACUGCAGUGCUUGAGUACUUAAGAGGAUCGCGGAAUUCCCGGUGUAGUGGUGGAAUGCGUAGAGAUCGGGAGGAACACCAGUGGCGAAGGCGGCUCACUGGGCCGGACCUGACGCUGAGGCGCGAAAGCGUGGGGAGCGAACGAGG
rnacentral:rRNA from 1 species